ensembl:lncRNA
GAUCAGAAUGCACCUUUGUGUGAUGCAUUUCUUCCUUAAAUCUCAGUAACCAAGUAUGCAUUGAGUGACCUACACCUUUAAGGGGGAAAAUGGUCUCAGUCAAGCGCUGGAUGAAUAUAAAUAGUAAUAAUAAAAACCUUUCAGUAAGGAAAAGCUGAGCAUUCUUUUUGAAUGCAAACAUAAAAAUUAAUAAUAAUCAUAAUCAUAAUCUGUGGCACAGGACCCAAAGAGACCUUUUCCUCACAGUUUCACACAGCAGUUCUCUCAUCAGCUCUGAAACCAUCUACCUCUGCAACUCAGAAAGCUUUCUUUUUUUCUUUUCCUGAAAGUUCAAGGAUACGUUAUCCAUUUUCUGGGCAAGUUUAGAACUUUGGGUCUCACUUCUGCAUACACGGAUUCUUCUCUAAAGUCACUAAGACAGAACAAAACCCGAGACCCUCUUUGGACUGCAAAUCCAGAAGCAUUCGACCCUGCGGUUCUGCCAAGCAGUGUGAAACACCGUAUUUGUAUCCGCCUCACGGAGCUCCCGCCCGAGUUUUUUCUCCGCGCUGAGCAUCAGUCUGCAGUCCUCGCACAAACGCACGGGCGCGUUCUCAGUGCCUGAAAACAUCUCUAUGCAAAAAUCAAGAUAUAACUCUCUUUGCUACCACUUUUUUUUUGUCUCAUCCUCAGCCAUCCGUUUGAAUGUAAACGUUACAGUAUACCUCACAUCCGUAAGGAGUCUUUACAUUCAGGUGUAGUUUUAAAAAGUCUCAUAGGAACCUCUUGCAGUCGAUUAAUGGGCACAUCGGAAGCAAAUCAACUGGAAGUACGGGAUGAGUGUUAUUUAAUUCUCCCUAGGGCUUUGCUAUUCACACACUCCUCUGUGCAGGUAGAUAUUCACGUGCGUAUGAAAGGAAAACUCACCUUCAAGGCGUAACAAAGGGAAACCCGCACUGGGAUCAUUUGUAGGAAAGCA